GAUUAAUGCUAGCUGUGCGCCUAACACAUGCAAGUCGUGCGUGAUCAGAAAUUAGCUUGCUAAGUUCUGUGAAAGCGGCGAACGGGUGAGUAACACGUUGAUAUCUACCUCUCAUUCAGGGAUAACCUCGCGAAAGCGAGAUUAAUACCGGAUGGUCUCGAAAGAGUAAAGCUUCGGCGAUGAGAGAGGAGUCUGCGGCCUAUCAGCUUGUUGGCGGGGUAAAAGCCCACCAAGGCUAUGACGGGUAACUGGUCUGAGAGGACGGCCAGUCACAAUGGGACUGAGACACGGCCCAUACUCCUACGGGAGGCAGCAGUGAGGAAUUUUCCGCAAUGGCCGAAUGGCUGACGGAGCGACACAGCGUGGAGGAUGAAGGGUUUCGGCUCGUAAACUCCUUUUCUGAAAGAAUAAGGUCUGAAGUUAUUUCAGGAAUAAGCACCGGCUAACUACGUGCCAGCAGCCCGCGGUAAUGUAGUCGUGU
rnacentral:rRNA from 1 species